UCUAAAAAAUUGAAAAUUACUCAAACAAACUAAUAAAUAUAAGAAUACUCUAUCAUGUUUAGUAAAUAUUGAAAUACUCACUCAAGUAAUUGAAGAAAUUUCUAAAAAUUAACUCUAUAUUAAAUAAGUUUAAUAUUUCAGGAAGCAAUCGUUUUUGCGGAUAUUUGAGAUUUUAGUAACGAAGCUAACUCGCCUACACCCUUCAAUCAAUCCCAGCGGACGAGCUCCUCGCCUCCAUUCCACUUUGUCGAAGCAUAGAUGGUAUGUAUAAGGUAUAUGCAAUCCAAAAGGUAUGGUAGACGAAGCCUAGCAUCUUUAAGAACUUGAAAUUGUUUAUGAAGCAAACGAUAAAGGAAUUCCAUACUGGAUAGCUCCAGAGCUCAUGUAUGUUUGAUGAAAAUUGAAUAACGACUCCCAUCUUGUUUCUGCACUAUGAUAAGUUCAGAGUUUUCUUUCUUCUAAAUACUAAAGUAAAAUGCCUUUCUGGUUCUUGCUUUUCUAUUAUUUUGUUAGCUAGAUCCUAUAAUUAAUUCAUUUUCACAGUAUCUGCCAAACAAGUGCAUAUAUGGUCUUGUGGGGUGAUCUUGUUUGCCCUUUUAGCUGGUUCUUUGUCUUUUCAUGAUACAAAUCUCAUGGAAUUGUAUAAGAAAAUAAUUGGCAAGCCAAACUAUCCUUCUUCUUUCAACUGGAUUUUAUCUUUCUGAUUUGUUUACAGAAAAAGAUGACGAGAAAGUAGUUAUUUACACCCACAUACCCUGCCUAGGUCAAAAUUGGUUGCUGGAAGUGAAAAAGGACAGAUGGUCUCUGAAAAUGGAGGGAGCAAAGGAAGGAAAAAAAGGACUAAUUUCAAGUCUACCUGAGAUAUAUGAAUUUACGCUCUCCUUUCACCUGAUUGGGUAAGAAAAAUGAACAAAGAUAUAAGACCAGCUUUAAAUGACAUUGUGUUGUUUGGGCAUGGCAAGUUGAUCAAAAGCAGUAAGAAUGAUAACAACACUAUCAACAUUUAAAACUUGUGUUUUGACUUAUUUUGUUUACCUUGAAUUGAUUUACUUUUGGUAUUUGGUACAUAAUUAAGGUGGAAAGUAUUUAACUGUGCGUCUCUAAGUAAAGUUCUUUCUCAAAACUGGACAAGGGCUAGGACCAGAGUACCAAAAAGAUGAUUUUUCAAAUCCAUUAUUCAAAUUUUGCAAAUGGCUAUUUCGUAUUUUAGAUGGUAAAGGGUUGGCUGCUAUAUGGACAACUGCAAACAUAAUUAUGAGCAAACUAUACAUUUUUAUUGUUUUUUUAUAUGUACACAAGGGAGAAGAAGAGAGAUAGUUUAAUACUUCUGUAUGUGUAAAAGUUAAAAGAGAUUCUGACGGCUAAUUUCUUCUAACUGUCGUUUCACUUGUAUUGCGGUAAAAUUUUUGAAACUAUUAAAUUGGUAGUAAAUUUAAGAUGUUAUCUGGUUGAUUGCUUAUGUGUCAUUAUGGACUGUUUGUGUAUAUUCUUGUACUUAUAACAUGUUUAUAUUGGUAUAUUUAAUAUUAUUAUUUAAAAAUUAUUUUUAAAAUUUAUUUUAAAAUUAAAUAAAAUUAUAAAAAUAAAAAAUAAAAUAUUUUAAAUUUUGAAAUAAUUUUUAUAUUUUUUUAAAAGGUAAAUGGCGACAAAAUUUCUAAAAUUUUUAUUUUGGUUUUACUUAACCCUCAAAACCCAAAUUUGUGCGGUAAAACCCCCAAUACUCGUAUUCUGUGAGCAAUUUAACAUUUCUGUCCAUUUUAGGUGUUAAGUGUCAUGUUGGACUAGACACAGUGUACACGUGGCACAAUUUUAUUGGUUCACGUAAAAAAUUAUUUAAAAAAAUUAAAAAAUUAAAAAAAAUAAUUUGAAAUUUUAAAAAAAAUAUAUAAAUAAAAAAUAAAUUUUCUCUUUUUUUUCUUUUUUUCCUUUCUUUCUUUUUCUUUUUUUUUCUUUUCUUUCUUUUUCUGUUCAUCUCGCUCUAUCACUCUCUCUCUCUAUCACUCUCUCGAUCUCCUCGGCAACCACCUCUCUCUCGAUCUCUCACCAUCCCAAGCCACCUCAGCAGAUCUCCGACCACCCCAAGCCACCACCCAUUUUCCCUUCUCUCAUCAUCAUCAUCUCCAUAACCACUUUCUCUCUCCUCCACUUACUCUCAGACCCAUCUCUGCUCCCUUACGAACCUGAACCCGACCUGAACCAUGGCUAGCUCUAGCUUUUGAACCCACAACAACAACAAACAAUGUUCCAGAAGAGGAAGAAGAAGGUCCUGUAGAGUUUUUCCAAUCUACAGCUCUGAUUUUUGCCACUUCCGACGAACCUUCUUCUCUCCAAGUCGCCACCAGUGUUCUACUCACCGGUUCCAUUGCUAUCUUCCUCUCCCGCUCGCUCCGUCGCCAAGCCCGACACGCUAAACAACUUAAAUUUAGGUGAGAUGGAGUGAAGAAAUCAGUGAAGGAAGAAGCACUUGAAAGCUUAAAGGCAAUGAGAUCAGCUUCAGUGACUGAAGCUAAGUCACCACCUUCACCUAUUCGAGAGAGUGAUAGAGCGAAGAUAAACAGAAAAAGGAAGAAAAGAAAAGAAAAAGAAAGAAAGAAAAAAGAAAAUUUAUUUUUUAUUUAUAUUUUUUUAAUUUCAAAUUAAUUUUUUUUAAUUUUUUAAUUUUUUUAAAUAUUUUUUUUCAUGGACCAAUAAAAUUAUGUUACGUGUACACUGUGUCCAGUCCAACAUGGCACUUAACACCUAAAAUGGACGGAAAUGUCAAAUUGCUAACUGAAUACGAGUAUUGGAGGUUUUACCGCACAAAUUUAGGUUUUGGGGGUUAAGUGAAACUAAAAUAAAAGUUUUGGGAGUUUUUCCGCCAUUUACCCUUUUUUAAAUAAUAAUAUUAGGUGUAACAAUAUCAAUGUGACAUAUGUACAAAAGUGUACACAUAAGUAGUCUAUAUUGACAAUUAAUUGUAAAAAAUAAAUGAUACUUUAAAUUUGUUAGUAGUUUAUUAAUUUGAAGAGUUUUACCGUUAAAAUUUAAGUUUAGAGGAUUAAAUGUAAGUGGGGUGAUAGUUGAAAGGAUUAAGAUAAAAUUAAAUGAUAUUAUACUU